rnacentral:piRNA from 1 species
UGACAAUGAGAUUCUUGUGUCUUGGUGUCC